rnacentral:rRNA from 1 species
GACAGAGGCCUCAAGCGUUAGGCGGAAUCACUGGGCUUAAAGCGUGUGUAGGCGGAUCGUUAAGUGUCUUGUGAAAUCCCACGGCUCACCCGUGGAACUGCUGGGCAUACUGGCGAUCGUUGGGCCAACUAGGGGCAACUGGAACAAGCGGUGGAGCGGUGAAAUGCGUAGAUAUCGCUUGGAACGCCAAAGGUGAAAACAGGUUGCCGUGGGGUUGUGC